UAAUGCCGGAUGCUCCAUCACACCGCAUGGUGUGUUGGGAAAGCCUUUGCGGCAUGGGAUGGGGUCGCGUCCUAUCAGCUUGAUGGCGGGGUAACGGCCCACCAUGGCUUCGACGGGUAGCCGGCCUGAGAGGGCGACCGGCCACAUUGGGACUGAGAUACGGCCCAGACUCCUACGGGAGGCAGCAGUGGGGAAUAUUGCACAAUGGGCGCAAGCCUGAUGCAGCGACGCCGCGUGAGGGAUGGAGGCCUUCGGGUUGUAAACCUCUUUUGUUAGGGAGCAAGGCAUUUUGUGUUGAGUGUACCUUUCGAAUAAGCACCGGCUAACUACGUGCCAGCAGCCGCGGUAAUACGUAGGGUGCAAGCGUUAUCCGGAAUUAUUGGGCGUAAAGGGCUCGUAGGCGGUUCGUCGCGUCCGGUGUGAAAGUCCAUCGCUUAACGGUGGAUCCGCGCCGGGUACGGGCGGGCUUGAGUGCGGUAGGGGAGACUGGAAUUCCCGGUGUAACGGUGGAAUGUGUAGAUAUCGGAAAAGAACA
rnacentral:rRNA from 1 species